UUGUGUUUCAGUGAAUUAUUGAAGAUAGAGUGAUUAUGCAUCAUACUGGAUGAAAUUUUACUGGGGAUGAGAUAUCAGUACUUCUCUCAUUUAUGACGUGCCAUGUCUGACAGUCUGAGAUGCACAGCUACUGCUAUAUGGUAACAGGUCGACUAUUUUUCCAACUAACAUGAGGUGAGAACAUGACUAUUGUUGAUGUUAAAUUUUCUCAUUCAGUGUUUUACCCCUGCCCCAACAACACCUAACCCCAAAGCUUCAUUUGGAUGCUGCAAAGGACAAUGAACGGUUAAGGUGUGAGAAGUUCAUGUGUAGAGAUGAUCCGAGCUGCAAGAGAUGGCAACAUUGAAACAAACAAAAGAAAGAGAGAGAACUGCAGCAGGACUAGUAGUUCUCUUUUGAUAACUAGCUGCCCUUUCAUGCUGCAUGUCUGUUAAUUGCUUGCCUGCUGAGGUUUGAAGAUGCUCUCACCUCUGACAUCUGACAUUGAAGACGUAAUGUAACAGAGCAUCUGGCUCAGCAAGGGAUGAUCUCCUUCCUACUAAACUCACCAACCAACUUUACUGUGGUGGUUUAUUUUAUCCAUCACUACUAAUUCUGCACAUAUUUCCCACCUCUUUAUAGAUCUAUACAAGUUAUGGUAUUGGUAGACUCAGUGGUAAAUGAUAUCGAGUCGAAGUGGCUGUGUAUACACGUAGAUUCUCACCAUUGAGAGCAAAGACAACAUCCCGUUAGCUUAAUGCAUCAAUCUAGCAUUAUCAUGUUCCCGUGAACAAGAAUACAAAUCAGUAAAUCACUCUUUAGUUCUGUGAAUUUCCUUACAUGAGUAAAUACCAACUCAUAGCCAUAGUUUUCAGGCACCUUGGAUCCGAAGACAAAGCAACCC
rnacentral:lncRNA from 1 species